rnacentral:rRNA from 1 species
CCUACGGGAGGCUGCAGUGGGGGAUAUUGCACAAUGGGGGGAACCCUGAUGCAGCGACGCCGCGUGGGUGAAGAAGCGCCUCGGCGCGUAAAGCCCUGUCAGCCAGGAAGAAAAUGACGGUACCUGAAGAAGAAGCCCCGGCUAACUACGUGCCAGCAGCCGCGGUAAUACGUAGGCGGCAAGCGUUAUACGGAUUAACUGGGUGUACAGGGGGCGCAGACGGCGGUGCAAGCCAGGGGUGAAAGCCCGGGGCCCAACCCCGGGACUGCGGUUGGCACUGCGUGGCUGGAGUGCAGGAGGGGCAGGCGGAAUUCGGGGUGUAGCGGUGACAGGCGUAGAUAUCAGGAGGAACAACGGUGGCGAAGGCGGCAUGCUGG